AGCAGGCGGUUUGAAAGGCCGUCAGUCGUCAAGCUCCGUGCAAAUCGAGUUCACCGCUCGUGAAUGUCGCUCGUAAUCUCGCGAAUUUACUGUCGUCGUCCAAGGUGUAUCGGCCACUUGCGAUCGUUUUCACAGGCGAACACCAAAGUCGCCACGUGCAAACUUGCCUCUCUCAAUUUGCGGACAACGCAACGUGCUAUGCACGCUCUGUCGCCAGUAUGACACGGUCAACGGAGUAAUUUAUGCGAGCGAGGAAACAACGUUGCUAUCAAAGUUGGUCGUAAACUGCACUUUGUUGCGAAGAAACUGAACGAACCAAUGAUAAAUUGUGCAUUGUUCCGAGGGUAGAGAAAUGCUCAUGAAACAGGGUACGAGGCGCCUUUCCACGAUCUUUCCCGACGUCGCGAUUGUUGCAAUCAACUUUCCGACCAAUUAAAACUCAAUAAAAGCAGAAUGUGGCGCCGGAAAUGUGACAACCCGCACGCGACAAGUCAUUGCGCAGCCACGCACAACGCGAUACACAGAAUUCAAUCCUCGUAUUCACGAUGGUGCCGAAAUGAAAUGGAACGAGAGGCGGGCAAUUUAAUCAGCGGCAGACGCCGGAAGGUAAACGGCGCCGGCCAACGACAAGAUCGAAUUGUUUCCGAUAUAAAUUGCUGUCCAAAAAUUUGGAACCAUUUUUUGGCUAAUGGCUCCUCGAUUGAGAAGAAAAAUCGACAGGCACUCGAGGGUACCAUAAAUUAGCAGCCCUUCUUGAUCCUCUGUUGUAGAAUAGAAAAAUCGACUGUUUUGCACAUCAAAUACAAAAUGAAUACUUUUUAUAAUAUGGUUGAAAGAAACGAUUGUCAUAAAAACAUAUCUCUACCAGCUGUACACUUACCAGUGUUAGAUCUCAGAAAUCUGUAUUGAUUUUAUUGCAAGUUCGCAAUACCUGUUGUUAAUUUUAUUGGCGAUUAAAAAUCACCCUAACGGGUACAAUUUUCUUUAGUUUAUUUUAUUUUAAUUAGAUUCUUCGCUGAAAAAUAUCCCAAAGUAAAGGAACUCAAAAUUCACUUCUCUCUGAAUCUGUAGGUUCUAUGAAACGCGCGGUAAUUGCAGGAUUUUGCAUACAAACAUGUAUAGACACCGUAAUAUCUGUAAAUGUAAAUUUAUUUAUAAUGUAAAUUUAUUUACAUUUAUAUGUAGACAGGACCAGUAGUGCAGGUAAUUGUACAUAUUACCAUGGACCGACCGCGUUUAUCGGUUCGGAUUUCCGUGGACCGGCAUAAAGCCGCGUGCACACUGAUCGCGUUACACGCUCCACCGAUCGACGCUAUCCCAUUACACACUGAUUCGGAAGCGCAAAGAGUUGCGCGCCGCUGUUUGCGCGCGAUUAUCGGCUACAAAGAGAAGAAUCAAGGUGCGGAACAGUGAACGACGAUUUCGAAACUCGAUCAAAAUCUACGUGUGUUUCUUUCUGUUCUAUUAUACGUAGAAUAUUUUUUCCAUUAUAUCUGAGAUAUGUUUCAAGGACGGACCUUUUUCUAUUCGAACGUAUUUCUUCGAUUAUAUCUGAGAUAUUUCAGGGGAGAGGUGUGUGCGUACUUUCGGAAAUAAUAGAUUAGGCUUUAAAAAAGUAAAAAGGAAAAAAAGAAACAGAUGAGUUGAGAUGAUUUUCGGUUAAAUUUAGAAGAAGAAAAGAAACAAACUAUCGUUAUACUCUUCGUCAAGGUUAUCGAGAAUUGUGGGAGUUGGUUGGAUCAAGUUUAUCUUCAGAUUUUUCAUCCGUUUAAAUCUAUUGUGAUCGAAUUUUCAUAUUUCAAUAUUCCCCUCAUUUUAGCAAACAGAGAGGAUUUGUUUUAUGGUAACGUAUGUGCUUUAUACACGGAUCAUAAAAUCAUACGAAUCGAACUUUAUCGGUUUGAAUUGCAAAUUCGUAAUUUGUUCGGGAGGAGCCGUGGAAAAACAAACUGAUGCAAUUCCGUGGCGAAAUAAUUAACGCGCCCGCGAUUCGUGAUUAAUCGUUCGAAAGCAGACGAUCGAUGAAAACGAGGCCGGGUCUCUAAAAGUGCGUAGCUUCGUAUGCGUGCGUCUUCUAUGCGUAAUAGCGUAAGAUUCGAUAGCCGCGUGAUUGAUCGGACAUUUCCUCGUCCCUUUUUUGAACCGUUGCCUCUUUUCUCCUUUCAGAUUUCCAGCUUGUCAUAUAGCUUGUCGUUCACUUCGAUCUCACGUUGAAAAACCAACUUUGAUUUCGUAUUUAUGGAAAAAUAUUUUAUCGUUGAAUAUGAGUAAAUGAUUACGAAUUUUGUUCCGCAUCUUGUUGAGAAAAUUCCAGUGGAAAUAGUUCAGAGUCAACGUUAAAUUGACUGUAACUGGAAUAAGAGUGAAUGAAGAUAUUAUUUUGGAGAAUAAUUAUACUUUUGAAUAAUAUAGUUUCUUUUCCAUUUGGAAACUUGUCGAAAAUUCUGCAAUAAUUAUUUAGUCGUUCAAUACCCAGUAAUGACAAAAGUUUUCAUUUUCUUUCGCCUGUUUUAAACUGGAAUUUAAACUAUUGUAACACUGGAAUCUUCCAACAAUGGUGUGAUUUUCGCACAUGUUAAGUGUGUAGAAAAUUCAGUAAAAAGUCGCUAAAAUACCUUCGAGCAUGAUGUUUAACGAUAUAAAAUUCCAAAAGGCUAGACAAUCUUCUUAUUAAAAAUAAUUUUGCGAUACAGUAAACCUAAUCGGUUUACUGUAGUCGCGCUAGGAUUGUAAAAGACCGCAGUGUGUCAUCCCAACGUUAAUUAAACUUCCAUCGUGCCAGACUUAAUAAGAAUUAAGCGAAUCACGACUAAAACUUCGAAAAUAUUAUCUGAAACGCUGUCCAUCUUAAAACUAGCACUUUCGCGAACAAACAUCGAAGCUAGCCUAACCCUAGCCGAAGCAAAAGCUAAAUUAACCUAAUGAUCUAAACUGAAACCGGCUCGAACAAACAAAUAGCGCAGGCUAACUCGAACUUCUCUAAAAGCGAGAACCAAGCGUAUAUUCUAUCUAUUCGAUCUAUCGUUCGCGUCUGUUGCUUCCGAUUAAUCGCCAGGCUAACCAAGCAGCUCGAUUAUUCGCGAGGCAGUGCGUGAUAUUAGCGAGCAUUUAAGCCGGGAUAAACGAACGCGGAUCAUCGUUGCCGUAUCAGCGGCGGUCCCGGAUCCAUUCAUGACCGGCCAUGCUAAAUUUAGACGGCGAGGAGAGAAGAGAGUGGGCUUGUUUGAAAAUGUUAGCAGACCACCCCCUGACACGCCACCCCCUUUUGACACCCGGUCCAUGGCACGAGGCUUGCGUAAAAGGGCACUGCUCCGUUGCGUGUCGAUCUCGUGACGUCAGUCGACUGCCUCUGAUCGCGAGACGUCUGUGAUUUAUUGGACGAGAAUUCGCCUCCAUCGUCGUCCCCCUCUUGGUAGCUUGUGUUUGGAGAAGGUUAUUGAACGUGUUUGUCAUUGGGGAAAUUUUAGGGAACUUGUAAGACGGUAUAUGGAAAAAAUUUGAUGUUGCGUGAUACUAGUUUUUUAGUUGAUAGUUGAUGUUUCGAACGUGUUUGUCAUUGGGGAAAUUUCAGGGACCUUGUGAGGCGGUACAUGGACAAAAUCUGAUGUCGCGUGAUACGAGCUUUUUAGUUGACGGUUGAUGUUUGCAACGCGUUUGCCAUUGAGGGGAAUCUUAAGGAAUUUGUAAGAUGGUAUAUGGGAAACUUUUGUUGCCGAGCGAUACUAAUCUUUUUGUUGAUGGUUGAUAUUUGGGAGGUCAUCGAACGUGUUUGUGGUGGCAAAAUUUUCGCGAAUUUUAAGUCGAUGUUGAACGAUGCUAAUUUAUUACUUGAUACAUAGUUGGUGUUUCAUGGUUAUUGGAGAUAACAGUCUCGUUGGGGAAAUUUUAGGGUAUUUGCAGAUCGGUAUGUAGAAGUUUCGAUGCUGAGUUUGGUUAAACGAGUUUAUACCGAUUUGUUUAUUGACAAUUGGUGUUUCACGAUGAUUGGAAGUGGUGGUGAGCGACAAAUUUUCUAGGAGAUUCGCGAAAGAUCCAGAAAAGUUUUAAUGUUGAAUUUGAUUAAUAAGGACGGUACUGAAUUUUUAGUAGAGUCCUAUGCAGGGUAGAAGUCGGAGAAUUUUAUUUGUCUUAUUUGAUAUUUAUGAAGGAGAAUUUCGUAUGAUACAUAGAAUAUCUCGUAACUGGUGGACAAUAAAAAAAAACAGAGUAAUUUACAUGAAAAAGUAAGUCGAAAACAUGGAAUAAAUUCUUUUUUAUAGGAUUUUUUACUCAACUGUGGCCAUGUCUGAUGAAAUUAUAUCUCAAUUUCGUUCUGUGUGUUACAUAGAAUAUUCUAUAACCAGAGGACGAUCAAAAGAGAUAAUUCACAUGAGAAAAGCAAAAACAUUUUUAUGCAAGGUUUUGCUUAACUAAUUAUAAGUUAGGUUAUGCCUCAAGUUAAUGGAUUUCGUGGUAGAUUAAUAUCUCUGUGCUUGCGUUUAUCGUAUUAAGUAAUGGAGAACACGCAAUGAAACAGGAUACUCACGCACUUUGUAAUAAAUGAAAUUUAAUCUGACAGGGUAGAGCAGAGCAGAGUUGUAUAUUCAGUAGGGCGGAAUAGUUUGUAGGAUUUUAAAUAAUUUCUAGUAUAAUAAACACAAACAUAAAUAAAGACGUAUCAACUCGAGAUUAAACAAGACUAUUCAAUCUGUGUUUUUAAUUACUUUCCUAUUUGAAGCUUUCUUCAAUUAUAUCAUAAAUUACGCAACACUUUCUAUAUUCGAAAACAAUAUGUAAUAAAAUCAACAACCACGUUCCACUUUCAAUAAACAUCCCUUAACAGGUAAAUAUAAUCUUGAUAAAGCAACAAACACAUCUAUCGAACGUCAAGAGAAAUUGGAGCCGUCCCUGCUAAGGUCCCCUACAUCGCACUGUCAAUUUCCGCAGAAGCUCGGCAGACCUACACAGCCCACGCACUUACGAGUAUCAAAUAUCGCAUCUUCGUCACACGCAACAUUCGCAACCAUAAUAAAUCCACCCACAUAUGAGUGGUGUUCCGAACUCGAUAACCCUACACCUUCGGUCGAAUAUAAUCGUACGUACGAAAUAUCAAUUAAUCAAAUUACAAUUCGAUUGAAUUCGUAUUGAAAAUUCACAUUGAAUCGUCCUGCAGUGACUACGAAAGACAUU